GUUCAGGUUUGAUGGUAGAGCUGAGCAGCAAGGGCAGGAGCAGGAGAUGCACAGUCAAGGCCCGGUCCUUCAGGUGGCCUUGUGUGGUGGUGUUAGCAGAAACUUAUGCAGUCUUACUGCCCUCUGUCUCUUCAUUUCUCUUGCUGCUAUCUCUUGGGGGGUGGUUGGGUGCGGUGGCAAUAAGUUAAUGUUACUCAGUAGCCAGGAAGCGAUGGGGAUAAAGACCCGUAUUCUGCCUUUCUGAUCCCAAGGCUCUCCCCCUCCCCCCUUCCAUUCUUUGGUUAACUCAGUAAAGUUACCCUGAUUCACAUAAGCUAACAAUCUGUUUGAGAAGAAACAAUUAGGCCCAUAGAAGUUGUUGACAUCUUAUUUUCAUUUUUUUCAAUGGCAUAAUGGGUGCUCCAGUCCAGCUUGUCCUUUUGUGUUCUCCAUAUGAGGCAUUCCUCCCAGAUGCUAAGUCCCUGUGAGGCUAGGGACAGAACAGUGGCUCCCCAAACAUUUUGGACCAAGGGACUGCUAGUGACACUUAGCAUUUCUCACAGAACACGAUGUGGCUGCUGAGCAGGCUAUUAAUUGGAAACACUUCUCAAACCAGGCAGGCUCCCCAGGCCAGCUGCGGGCCACUUCCCGUGCCUUCAGAGCCUGAAGUGCUGGCAAUUGCUGGGACCAGCUGUAGGGGCUGGGGAGGAUGGAGUGUGGUGGCAGGAGGCUACAAGAACAGCUCGGGUGUCUCUUCCAGGAAGCUGGGUGCACACUCCCUGCUUCUUCUUUCUCCGUGGUCUUUUGGAGUUCAGCUUAAAUGAGAUCUGAAAAACAGCAUCCUGCUGUAGAGGAGCCAAUGGUCCUAGAAACAGACUCCUGCUAUAAAAAAUCUUACGGGAGCCAGAUGCCCCCGACCCUGACGGAGAUUGAUCAAGUGGCUGCUGCUAUCACCUUUCACUUUGCUUUGGCAAGGGGGGGAAGCACGGCAUGAUGGAAAGUUUCAGGUGGUACUUCCAGAAAGUAUUUAAGGGUUGCCGUUUGUUUUUGUUCUGUUUUUGUUUAAGUGCUGCAAACAGGAAAGAAUCAUUCUACACCGCACAGUGCAAGCACAAAGACAGAAAGCGAGGAGGACAGUGGCUAGCAAGGAGCAGUCACUCCCGAGGAGCAGCCCUUCCUGAGUGCAGCACGCUGCAGAUGUGUGCUUUGUCAGGGGCUGGGAGAUGUUGGCCAGUAGGUUGUGGCAGCCUGUCAGAAGUGGUUGGAGACCUUCGUUGGAUGAGCAAAGCCUAUCCACUUUCUGUCAAGCCUGAAAACGCCACAGAAGGCAUGGAGCACCCAGUCACAGUCCUGUUGCUCAUCUUUCAAACUGCAGAUGAAUGGCAAUGUCACCCCAGAACACACCACCCUGGAGGCAUUGCCAUGAGAGUCAUGGCAACAACUCAGCAGGUGCUUUUCAGGUGA
rnacentral:lncRNA from 1 species